ACAGCUGUGCCUGGUGGGCUGACCAUGUGAGGGCUGCUGAGGGAAGGACUCUUCCUAGCGAGGUCCCAGAGGCAGAGGAGAUGUAACACAUGAAUUAACCAACGUGGCUCUCUAGGAUUACGUUACUGGAGGCCUCGGCUACCAGCACCCAGUGCAGAGGUCUCUGGCAGACAUCCUUGAGCACAGGCUACAGGGAAGCUUGCUGACUGAAGGACGUUAAUAGAAUUACUCAUCUGAGAAAGGGCCAACUUCUGUUAUUAUUCAUCUACCGGGCCCCCGGCUCUGGACUGCAUUUAGAGCACAACUAUACGCUGAAACGGUAUGGAGCUGCUCUUUCACUUCUCAAAAAUGAGGAUAUUUCUCUACAGCAAACUUCUGGCAUCUCAUCAUCACGCAGCAGACUCAUAAGGACUGCGCUGUGUUUGGGCUUUCCAUAGACUUUCGACUGUGCUGCAGAACAAACUUAGGGUUUCUUCUUCUGUUUCAUGUGCAGAAGAGCUACUGAGUUCACUGAAACAUGCAAGUAUAAAAUAUAGAACUUUGAUGAAAUCUCAGAGCAAGUAAUCACCCAUUUCUUCUAGCUGAGCCAAGAUUUCUGCCAUUAGUUGAAAGGGCUGCAGGAGGAGUACAGUGAGGCCAAAUCCAAAAGGCUGGGUUGGGAGACAAAUUUGUUGUGAUUGAAGAAAAACUGAUCAGGAAACUGAUGAGGCAAACUCAUUUCUUAGUUGUUAUUGGCAACAAGGCUCAACAGAGAAGGUGAUAAACACAUUUUUCAGGUGGUGAAAUAGGACUUGGGAGCAACAUUUUUUCUGUUGUAUCUACAACACAAUCUUUAACAGAUUUUUCCCUGUGAACUUGGAGCUGAGAAUCUCCUUUACAUGCCGAAACUCCCUUUCUGUUAAGCGGGAAUGGCUGGUGAUCUGAUGCUGUGUUACGUCUUUUUGUUACGUGAAAGCGAUUCUGGUAGUUUUUGCAUGCUGAUUUUAGAAAGCAGUCACAAACCUCUGCAGAAAUGUGCAAACAAAUGGAUUUCUCUUAGCUUUCUGCAUGAAAUGGUGCUUUAACAAUACGGAGUUCAACUCAAGUUAAAAUAUUUUUAAAGGCCAAAGCUAUGGAAAUAUUUUUUUCAUAUAGUUUACAAGUGACAGCUGGGUGAGAAGUGUUCUACCGCUGGUGAAGGAUGUGACUGACUCUGUUUCCUGUUGUCACUAGGCUUUUUGCCUGAAUGAAAUUCAUUGUUCCUCUAAGAGCGGCUGCCCUUCUCAUGAACUUUGUUAGGGAAUGCAAAAAUAUCCCGUUGGGAUUUUUUUAAAUAGGUACUUUUGCACUGAGGUACUUUAAAAAAAAAAUACAGAGUUCCCUUAGUUACAGAAUACCAGGUUGCAGGUGUGCUGCGACUUGAAAUAUAAAUUGCUACACCAGUGUCCUUAACAAUAAAACAAAACAAAAAAAACCCCUCAAACCCCCCCAACCACCAAAAUCCAGACUCUGCAAAUGCUUCAUUUAGAUGUUUUUGCCUGCUGACCUACUGCUGAUUAUCUACAAUCAAAAGCACCUAAACAGUACCAGCACAGCAAAUUCAUUUAAGUAUGCCUUGAAUGCACAGUGGAAGAGUUCAGCUGACUAUUUCAUAACAUGCAAGCACCUGAGUUAUGUUCAGCAGCAGUAAACUUACCAAGUUUUAUUGCGACUAUAAAACACGGUCUAAGAAAAAUUAAGCACUUGAACUGAAAUAUGAUAAACUCGCAAAAGGGUGGACCCGAUUCUGUGUCAGUCUCCAAGGGUGGAACUAUCUUAGAGCAACUUGUUAGUUAUUAUGUAAUAAAUGAAUAUAUUUUGGCAAAAUGUGCAUUUUUAGAAUUGAAAAAAGGAAUCCUGUUUUUACAUGCCACUUAAAAGACAAAAUAACUUUUAAAAUGGAAAUAAAAAUUUAUCUUGAUUUAUACUAUGUAAAACAGACACAGAGUGUGUACAACAGAGUAGGAUAAAACAUAAAUCUUCAGAGUUUACAGUUCUAUCUAAUAAUUUAUUCCAUUCAAACAAGCUUUAAUGCUGAGGUGAUUAAAACAAGGUUAGAGAGCCAUCAAAUGCUGUGAUGCCUUCCAUACUCAGAACUGCUUCUCACUUCAGUCCAGCUCCACCUGUUAACUCAUGUCUUCAUUUCCCUUAAGGGCAGAUGGUAGAUUAUGCAAACCACCCAGAACUCAUUUGGGAGGAACAUCCCGGAGGGGUUAUCGGGCACACGUCACUUCCCGCUCUGGCUUGAGCAGUGAAUGAAGCUCAAGUCUCCUGGGGCUACCAUGAGAUAUGCCACCAAACACCCAAGUUAAAUUUAUGUGAUCUCUCAAUGAACAGUAGGGGGAGAGCGUCCAGCUCUUAGCUCUGCGAUUAACAUGCCCCUUGCAAAAAUACGUCCACAGGAAAUGGAACUGCCAGUGGUUCUGUGAUCCCAGGAAAUGACAUAAUGACUGAUGUCCUGGUGAUGUAACAGACUAUGAACACUUGAG